rnacentral:lncRNA from 1 species
UUUUUUUCUUUGCCUUGUCUUUUUUUUUUCUAGGACAUCUUUUUUGUGUUUUUUUUGUCCAUGUAUUUAUAUUUUCUGGAAAAACAAUAUUAGAAAUAUCUUUACAUUAUUUUCUACUUAAAUAAGGAUUUUUAUGGUAAUUUUCUCAAUUUUACUUGUACCCCCAUUUAUUUUUCUUUUCCUCGCGUGUAUAAUCUCCUAUCAUAUGAUUUGGUCAUUUUUCAUCUUAAUUAUUUUUUCU